rnacentral:rRNA from 1 species
UACGAAGGGGGCGAGCGUUGUUCGGAUUUACUGGGCGUAAAGGGCGCGCAGGCGGCUAUCCAAGUCAGGCGUGAAAGCCCCGGGCCUUGAACCUGGGAGGUGCGUCUGGGACUGGGUGGCUAGAGUUCGGGAGAGGAGAGUGGAAUUCCCAGUGUAGAGGUGAAAUGCGCAGAUAUCAGGAAGAACACCCGUGGCGAAGGCGGCUCUCUGGGACGGUACUGACGCUGAGACGCGAAAGCGUGGGGAGCGAACAGG